ACCGCGUGGGCGGUUCCCACGCGUUUCUCGCGGUCCACGGCACUAUUCCAUGGACCAAAGCAUGAUCGGAGGGCUCAGGUGACUCCCGGUCUUGAUCCGACGGUCUGGGACGUGAUUUGGGUUGAUUAAGGACUCCUAAACCUAAUCUAAACCAUGUUUAAGCCCUUUAAAAGCCCUGUGAGGCAACAGAGAUGGCGUGGGGUUUGGUUUUGCACUAUGGGCGCCGCAC
rnacentral:lncRNA from 1 species